rnacentral:rRNA from 1 species
AGCAGUCGCCGCGGUAAUGCGAAGGGGGCUAGCGUUGUUCGGAAUUACUGGGCGUAAAGCGCACGUAGGCGGAUAUUUAAGUCAGGGGUGAAAUCCCAGAUCUCAACUCUGGAACUGCCUUUGAUACUGGGUAUCUUGAGUAUGGAAGAGGUGAGUGGAAUUCCGAGUGUAGAGGUGAAAUUCGUAGAUAUUCGGAGGAACACCAGUGGCGAAGGCGGCUCACUGGUCCAUUACUGACGCUGAGGUGCGAAAGCGUGGGGAGCAAACAGGAUUAGAUACCCCUGUAGUCCCUGUCUCUUAUAC